GGUUUUGUAGUGUAAUGGAUAGCACACGGGAUUUUGAUUCCCGUAAUCUGGGUUCGAUCCCCAGCAAGACCU
rnacentral:tRNA from 1 species